rnacentral:rRNA from 1 species
GAACGCUGGCGGCGUGCCUAAUACAUGCAAGUCGAGCGAACAGAUGAGGAGCUUGCUCCUCUGACGUUAGCGGCGGACGGGUGAGUAACACGUGGAUAACCUACCUAUAAGACUGGGAUAACUUCGGGAAACCAGAGCUAAUACCGGAUAAUAUAUUGAACCGCAUGGUUCAAUAGUGAAAGACGGUUUUGCUGUCACUUAUAGAUGGAUCCGCGCCGCAUUAGCUAGUUGGUAAGGUAACGGCUUACCAAGGCAACGAUGCGUAGCCGACCUGAGAGGGUGAUCGGCCACACUGGAACUGAGACACGGUCCAGACUCCUACGGGAGGCAGCAGUAGGGAAUCUUCCGCAAUGGGCGAAAGCCUGACGGAGCAACGCCGCGUGAGUGAUGAAGGUCUUCGGAUCGUAAAACUCUGUUAUUAGGGAAGAACAAAUGUGUAAGUAACUAUGCACGUCUUGACGGUACCUAAUCAGAAAGCCACGGCUAACUACGUG